rnacentral:misc_RNA from 1 species
UUUCCGUAGGUGAACCUGCGGAAGGAUCAUUAACACAUCUUAAAAAACUUAUCCAAGAUUUCCUUCUUGGGUAUUUCACCCCCUCUAGCGAACUUUGUUUGGAAAUGCACCGUUCAAUGGCCAUUUCCGCUUUUUUUCCUUUUUUUUUUUAAACAAACAAACCCCAUUGAAAAUUUUGACUGAAAUUAUUUUUCUUAUCGAAAGAUUCGAAAAUACACAUUGAAAAUGUUGAAACAACUCUUAACAACGGAUAUCUUGGCUCUC